rnacentral:rRNA from 1 species
CAGUCGCCGCGGGAAUACGUAGGGAGCGAGCGUUGUCCGGAAUUACUGGGCGUAAAGAGCUCGUAGGCGGGACCGUAAGUCCAAGAGGAAAUCUCAAGGCUCAACUUUGGGGCUUUCUUGGAUACUGCGGUUCUUGAGGAUGUCAGAGGAAAGUAGAAUUCCCGGUGUAGCGGUGAAAUGCGUAGAUAUCGGAAGGAACAUCUGUGGCGAAGGCGACUAUCUGGGCCAACACUGACACUGAGGCACGAAAGCGUGGGGAGCAAACAUGAUUAGAUACCCGCGUAGUCCCUGUCUCUUAUAC